GAGGAGUCAGGGUUCAAGGUCAACAUCAUAGCCUGUCUCAAAAGCAUGUGUAUUUUGAGGCCAGGUGAGGUUGUUGGGAGCGGGUGAGGCUGCACACACCAGUGAUUCUAGCACCCAGAAGGCAGAGGCAGGAAAAUCAAGACAGACCCAAGGCCAACCUGAUCUGCAUAGCAAAUUCUAUACCAGCCAAGACUAAUAGAUGUGAGCCCCUGGCUCAAAGGGGACUGACUGGGGGGGGGGGGGGGGCUGGAGAGAUGGCUCAAUGGUUACGAGAACUUCUGUUCUUGCAGAGGGCUGGGUUUGCUUCCCAGCACCCACAUGGAGGCUCACAAGUGUCUUUAACUCCAGUUCUAGGGGAUUCAAGUGUCUAGUCUCUAAGGGAACCCAUGGAUGUGUGCACAUACACACCCACAGACAUACACAUAAAAAUAGAUAAAAUGUCUAUGUUUGUAGGUCAAAGUGCUCAUAUUUGAGGAUAUACUUAUACAAAGAUUGUCAGUGUCUCUGCAUGGAUAGCUUGUAUUUUAUCAAAUAAGAUAGUAUCAUGGAAAAAGUAUGUCUAGUUCCAUUUAGAAAACGAAAUAAAGAGAGCCCCAAGCCUUGAGAAACACAACCUCCUUACAGUGUAGGAAACACUUUCAUAACCAUUGUCCUACAAGCUCUGGACGAGUUCAAAUAAAAUAAAAAUACUUCGCCAUCCAUAGGCAAGAAGACAGAACGAAAGAAGCCGCUGGCCCGUCAGGAGUUGAGCGAUUUAGAAGCAGCCAAGACUUCAAAACAAGCCCCUCACUUGUUCAGUCCGGCAUGACAUCAUUGCCUCACCCUGAUUGUCUCUCCAUCAGCCCAGAUAAACUUGUCUGAACCCAAAAAGCUCCCCGCCCCUCCAAGAAAUACUAGCAGGCGGCCAGGAAAUAAAAACCAAAUCAAGGUGAUCAGGAUCCAGAUGAGGGAAGAUAACUGUGUUUUCAGAAAAAAGGCACCAUAGCAAAUGCCUAGUGUCACCUAUCACAGGGACAUAAUGGCAUUCAUCCUAACUGGCCACCAUAUGGGCAGAAAGGGUUCUCAGACACCAGAAGCCUCCACUCUGGUGUCUCUCAGGCCACGCCCAAGCCCC
rnacentral:lncRNA from 1 species